rnacentral:rRNA from 1 species
GACGAACGCUGGCGGCGUGCUUAACACAUGCAAGUCGAACGGAAAGGCCCUGCUUUUGUGGUUUGCUCGAGUGGCGAACGGGUGAGUAACACGUGAGUAACCUGCCCUUGACUUUGGGAUAACUUCAGGAAACUGGGGCUAAUACCGGAUAGGAGCUCCUGCUGCAUGGUGUGGGUUGGAAAGUUUCGGCGGUUGGGGAUGGACUCGCGGCUUAUCAGCUUGUUGGUGUGGUAGUGGCUUACCAAGGCUUUGACGGGUAGCCGGCCUGAGAGGGUGACCGGCCACAUUGGGACUGAGAUACGGCCCAGAAUCCUACGGGAGGCAGCAGUGGGGAAUAUGGCACAAUGGGCGGAAGCCUGAUGCAGCAACGCCGCGUGCGGGAUGACGGCCUUCGGGUUGUAAACCGCUUUCGCCUGUGACGAAGCGUGAGUGACGGUAAUGGGUAAAGAAGCACCGGCUAACUACGUG